rfam:Flavobacterium frigoris strain DSM 15719 genome assembly, contig: Ga0131223_102
GUUUCGUUGCGUGAGGGAUAGUAGUGAAAAUCCUCACUUGUCUCGUCUCGUUUAAAAACGAGACGAGACAAGUGAGAUUGUAGCGAAUAGCUUGACCGUAC